rnacentral:misc_RNA from 1 species
AUAAAACCUACACUAAACUUUAAGGGAUAUGUAGUUGGAAAUGGAGUCACUGACCCACAAUUUGAUGGUGAUGCUCUUGUUCCGUUUGCUCAUGGAAUGGGUCUUAUAUCAGAUGAGCUGUUUCAGGAAGUUAAUGCUGCCUGUGGGGGAAGCUACUGGAAUCCAACAAAUGAGAGCUGCGAAGAGAAGCUUGAUAGAGUUGAUUGGGAGCUUAAGAACCUAAAUAUAUAUGACAUUCUCGAGCCG